UAAUACGAAGGGGGCUAGCGUUGCUCGGAAUCACUGGGCGUAAAGGGUGCGUAGGCGGGUCUUUAAGUCAGGGGUGAAAUCCUGGAGCUCAACUCCAGAACUGCCUUUGAUACUGAAGAUCUUGAGUUCGGGAGAGGUGAGUGGAACUGCGAGUGUAGAGGUGAAAUUCGUAGAUAUUCGCAAGAACACCAGUGGCGAAGGCGGCUC
rnacentral:rRNA from 1 species